rnacentral:rRNA from 1 species
AUUGAACGCUGGCGGCAGGCCUAACACAUGCAAGUCGAGCGGAUGAAGGGAGCUUGCUCCUGGAUUCAGCGGCGGACGGGUGAGUAAUGCCUAGGAAUCUGCAUGGUAGUGGGGGAUAACGUCCGGAAACGGGCGCUAAUACCGCAUACGGCCUGAGGGAGAAAGGGGGGGAUCUUCGGACCUCACGCUAUCAGAUGAGCCUAGGUCGGAUUAGCUAGUUGGUGGGGUAAAGGCCUACCAAGGCGACGAUCCGUAACUGGUCUGAGAGGAUGAUCAGUCACACUGGAACUGAGACACGGUCCAGACUCCUACGGGAGGCAGCAGUGGUGAAUAUUGGACAAUGGGCGAAAGCCUGAUCCAGCCAUGCCGCGUGUGUGAAGAAGGUCUUCGGAUUUUAAAGCACUUUAAGUUGGGAGGAAGGGCAGUAAGUUAAUACCUUGCUGUUUUGACGUUACCAACAGAAUAAGCACCGGCUAACUUCGUG